AUCGCCAGAAGAUCAAUUUCUUAAUCGUACAUGGUUCUUGCCUUUUACCAGAACCAUCCGGGAAUUGUCUUUGCUAAUGGUGUUUUGUCACUUUUUGGAAUAUCUCUAUGCGCUAAAU
rnacentral:snRNA from 1 species